rnacentral:lncRNA from 1 species
CUCAAGGAGUUAGACUUGAUCAGCUUGUCUGGUGUCAUAGCCAUCAGUCCCAUGUUCACUUGGCUGACAUGUAUCAAAUCCCUGAUAUCAGACAUAAGGUAGAGAGUGCUGUACAGUGGGCCUGGUUUGGAAAAUGCAAGUCCAGCCAAGGGUCAAAACAUUUUGGUGGAGGUUGGUUUAGGAGGGGCUACCAUGGAAGCAGGUUCUGGCUAGAAAGAAUAUCAUUCCUGCCUCUGCUAGAUGCUGUGAUUUUUAUACUAAUUCCGAGGAAGACUAUGAACAUGCAGUUAUCA